rnacentral:hammerhead_ribozyme from 1 species
GCACCGUCGAGGAGUCCCACAAUAGGACGAAACGGCCGUCCAAUGC